UGGCGAGUGUGAUUCCGCAGUCUUGGGCUGUUUGGCCAAGCGCCCGCCGGACAUGGUACGCCGAAGGGUCAUCGGCGUGGAGUCCUCGCUUUCAGCGUCCGCGGCUGGGAAAUCGGCCAUCGCUACGGCGGGAACUGGGACUCGGGCUGCGUCCCGGCCCUUCCACAUCGGUCCACCGCACUCGUGGGCGCCCGCAUUGGUGCUGACAUAAUUUCCUGACCUCUGACCCGUAUUGUCUCGCGAUUAAAGAGCUGCGCCUGGAUCCCUCAGCAGUGAGGAGACCUGAAGACCAGAGGAAACACAGCAAGUCCAGGCACUCCCACUCCUCCUGAGAGAAAUCUACAGCCACAUCCCUGAACAUCAUCAACUGUUGGAAAGAAUAAUUCCAAGUAUUAAUGGGGCUCACCAGAGAAGACAGGGCAAGGUGAGGGGGAUCUCCUAGCAGAGGAAACAACAUGCGCCAAUCAAGCAAAGAUAUUUUUGUGCAUUCAAGGAACACAGAGAGGAAAGACAGUGGCAGAUGGAGACGUAUAAAGCAGGGAUCCUGUUAUGAAAAGCCCUAAAAAAUAGGGUAUAGAGUUUGGGCCAUAUUUCAGAGGUAAUAAGAAAGCAUUCUGCAUUUUUAAAGUAAGGUUUAAAAAUGUUUCUAAUUAGAGAUACAGCAAAGUUGGUGUGAGAGGAUAAAGACUGAUAUACAUAAUCUGAGGAGUUCAUGAAAAUUCCAUGUAAAGCCUGUAGUAUGAAUUGGUCCUAGGAGACAGACAGCUUCAGGGGCAUAGAGAACUUUAAGCACUUUUCCAAGAAGAGUGAAGGGCUGGAGAAUAAAUUGUGAACUAAAAUAUAUUUUGUG
rnacentral:lncRNA from 10 species